rnacentral:tRNA from 1 species
CAUUAAAUGACUGAAAUGUAAGUAUUGGCCUCUUAAGCCAUUUCAUAGUAAAUUAACUUAUACUUUUAAUGA